CUGUGACAUCUUCCGAUGGAGGUGGAGCAUCCAGUCAGAGUAUAAAUGUGCUGCUCAGUCAUCAAGCACUUUCAUUAUAGCAGAAACAACAGAACACAGAGACUGAAAGGCUGGACAUGGAGGAGCUGACAAUUAUUCUGUUGGGAAAGCAAGGAGCAGGAAAGAGCGCAUCAGGAAACACUCUUUUUGGGCAAACAUGCAUUUCACACAGCGCCCAGCUCAGAGCGCGUCACUCGAGCCUGUUCAAUGAGCAUGUCCACUGUGGACAAGCAAAAAAUCAAAGUGAUUGACACUCCGGGAUGGUGUGAUUCUUCUCAGUUUGAGACUGAAAAUGAAGCAGGAUAUCAUUAAAUUCGUCAACAUGUACAAUCCACAUGUGUUUCUCUUAGUGCUGACUACUGGAAGAUUUACCAAUGAAAGAGAUAACAACAGUCAUGAAUAUCCUGAAGGAGUUUGGGGAUGAAGUCAUCAAAUACAUGAUUGUGCUGUUCACCAAAGGGGAUGAGCUGGAGGAGCCUAUCGAAGACUACCUGAAAGAACUUCACUCAGAACUAGAGCAAAUCAUUAAGAUAUCUGGAGGAAGAGUUCAUGUCUUUAACAACAGAAACGAAAAAGAUUGCCAGCAAACCUCUUUACUUCUGAAGAAGAUAAAUGAUCUGGUGAAGGAAAAUAAAAAUAAAUGUUACACUGAAUCUAUGUAUAACAAGAACAAGAAACAGUGUAGGAAUGAAGCAGAGAAUUCAGUGGCAGAAAAUAGAAAAAGUCCUGCUGAAGAUGAAAACAGAGAUGAUGACGAUGACCAAGUGAGUAUUUGUGAUGCUGACCAAAAAGAAAAAGGACAAACAAUGAUUGACAGAAAGGAGUUUGAAAAGGUAAAGGAGAAGGUGGAUGAGCUCACUAAAACCAUCCAAGACCAGCUGAUGGCAGACAUGAACAAUCUGCGAAUAAGACUGAACACGGUGCAAUUUCUAGUGUUUACGAAAGCACAUCACACACAAAAAAGAAUUUACAAAAAAAAAUUAAUUAAAUCCUUAUCCAUUUAAAGUAAUAUGUUGCCUUACACAGAAGGGGAUUUAGUGCAAUGAAAUUUGGCAUCUUUCAUCAUUUACACAAUUAAAAAAAAAAAUACUACAUUUAAUUUUAAAAAUCUGUCUAUCCCAUAUGAUCAUGAGUCAUCACAGAUUCUGAGGAUGGGUCCUAUUUCAGUUGAAAAUUAAACUAUUAUCUUGUGUAUUACAUUGUUCUUGUAAAAAAAAAAAUAAAUAAAUAAAUGAACUGCAUUGUCCAGA